GUGCAGCAGGCGAGAAACCUCCGCAAUGCGGGAAACCGCGACGGGGGACCCCGAGUGCCGUGGCAACGCCACGGCUUUUCCGGAGUGUAAAAAGCUCCGGGAAUAAGGGCUGGGCAAGGCCGGUGGCAGCCGCCGCGGUAAUACCGGCGGCCCGAGUGGUGGCCGCUAUUAUUGGGCCUAAAGCGUCCGUAGCCGGGCCCGUAAGUCCCUGGCGAAAUCCCACGGCUCAACCGUGGGGCUUGCGUGGGGAUACUGCGGGUCUUGGGACCGGGAGAGGGCGGGGGUACCCCGUGGGGUAGGGGUGAAAUCCUAUAAUCCCAGGAGGACCGCCAGUGGCGAAGGCGCCCCGCUGGAACGGGUCCGACGGUGAGGGACGAAGGCCAGGGGAGCAAACCGGAUUAGAUACCCCUGUAGU
rnacentral:rRNA from 1 species